rnacentral:rRNA from 1 species
AUUGAACGCUGGCGGCAUGCCUUACACAUGCAAGUCGAACGGUAACGCGGGGCAACCUGGCGACGAGUGGCGAACGGGUGAGUAAUGCAUCGGAACGUGCCCAGUUGUGGGGGAUAACUGCUCGAAAGAGCAGCUAAUACCGCAUACGACCUGAGGGUGAAAGCGGGGGAUCGCAAGACCUCGCGCAAUUGGAGCGGCCGAUGUCGGAUUAGCUAGUUGGGGGGGUAAAGGCCCACCAAGGCGACGAUCCGUAGCUGGUCUGAGAGGACGACCAGCCACACUGGGACUGAGACACGGCCCAGACUCCUACGGGAGGCAGCAGUGGGGAAUUUUGGACAAUGGACGCAAGUCUGAUCCAGCCAUGCCGCGUGCGGGAAGAAGGCCUUCGGGUUGUAAACCGCUUUUGUCAGGGAAGAAAUCUUCUGGGCUAAUACCUCGGGAGGAUGACGGUACCUGAAGAAUAAGCACCGGCUAACUACGUGCCAGCAGCCGCAGUAAGAC